GUGCUCCGGUCCCCGGCGCAGCUGCCGUGCCAGGGCUUGGCGGACACCCUUUGCCGGGACCCGGUGGGCAAGGCGGGCCCACAGCCGGAGGGCCGGGGAGCCGGCCGCUGCAGUUCUACGUCACCAUGCCUUUCCCGUCACCCACGGAGGCACAGGUGGCCCACCAGUGUCUGGCGACACAGGGCCAGCCCCAGGUCGGGGCAGUUCGGAAGGAGUUCACGGUAUCCGGCAACGUCCUAGUUAUCCGACUGACUGCCGAAGACCCUGGCCAACUCCAGGUUUCCAUCGCCUCCUGUCUUGACCAGCUUUCCCUGUUGGUUUCGACCAUGCAGCGCUUCGUGCCCCCGUUUUUCAGACUGCCGGAGCCAGGCAAAAGGGGCUAAUUGUAACCUAGCGUCCCUUCCUUCCCUCGGGCGUCCAUUCCGAUGCUGGUUGCCGCUUUAUUACGGGGGUCUAAUUGUUUGUAUUGGACUUUGGGCCUUGUUUUUCCCUAUUGCUGGAGGAGGGGCGUUCUUACAGCAGAAAAUAAAACUAUUUUUCCGCA